UUUUGUUGACUUAAACGUCCUUCUGUGUGGCACCCUUCUGACCUAUAGGUGAGCGAUGUUUUGACUUAGACAGAAUCUCUCCGUUUUCAUCUGGAUUCUUCUUGCUGGUUUCUCUCUGCUUAACCUCUGUGGGCCCUAUCAGGUCUGCUGGUUUCCCUGUUGGGUUCUUUCUGUUUGAAUUCCUGUGAUUCUGACAGCUAAGACUAUAUGGCUUUAGUCUUGCAAACAUAUUCUUUUCUUUCUUUCUGCCUGAAGUGCCCUACUCUCUUGGCUCCCCAUUUGGAGCCUUCUAAGUGAGACAUGCCUCCCACACGGGGCAUCUGGGAGGGAGAAACAAUUUGGUUGUACUGUAUAUCCACUGGCCAGUCUCAGAACUGCAGUAUUCCCAAACAUAUUGUAAUGUUGGCUGUGCGCCCAAUCCCAUGCUGGCAGGUUUCUCACAAGAUUGCAGAGGAUGUUGGUUUGCAUGACUGGAUGUUUAUGUUCAGCUCAGGAUCUGCAUGUUGUUGACGUCCUAGAGUAGGAAUGAGUAAAGUAUGGCCUGCCAGAUGUUGUUGGACUGUAGUUCUCAUACUUGCCUACCAGUACAGCUUUCAGCUGUCCAUCUGAUGGUGAUGAAAGCUGGGAGCUGCUGCAGUCCAAGCACUUCUACAGGACCUCUCUUUGUCCACUGCAUCCUGGGGCUUGCAGAGUCUCUUCCAGAUGUUAUGUCCAGAUGAUUUUUCUGAAUCGCAGCAGGCUAAGCUGCAGCCCCUCAUACCAAUUUUUUAAAACCCUCAGGACCCUAGCACCUGCUUUUCUUUUCUGAAUCUCUCUGUUCUUUCUGUGGAAUGAGUAAGUUUGCCCUUGCUCACUGUCUAUGUUUUGAUGGCUCUCUGGAAGCCAGUUGGUGGCUUUUCUCUGUUGCUUGAUGUCCCUGAUCCCUGAGGGUCUGCUCCCCCUUGCUUUCUUGCUCUUUCAUGCCUGCUGCUGUGUGGCCCCGAGGUGUCCUAUUGCCUGUUUCUGCCCUCCGGGAACCACUACUGUCUGUUUCUCUCUCCUUCUCUUACUUUCUCGCUCUCUUUCUUCUUUCCACGGCCAAGUGUGUGGCUGAGUCUCUUUGUUUGGCCUGGGGACAUUGCUAUGUUUUUUUCUGUUUGUUUAGUGCUGUCCUUCUUUUUCUUGACUUUGUGUUUUUUCUUCUCUUCCUCCCCCUUUCUCUGCCCCUCCAUCUACUCAUUCCUCAUGCAUCCACCAUCUCUCUCCAUAUACACCUGUUUCUCCCCUGCACACACCUUUCACCUUCUUCCACCCAUCUUUCCAUCCUCUCUCUCUCUGUCUCUCUCUCUCUCUGUCCCUGUCUCUCUCUGUUGCUCCGUCUCUCUGCUGCCUUCUAUAGGUCGUCCACGUGUCCCACUCUGCACCAGUACUGCUGCUCUGCUCAGUCGCUUCUUCACUCGCAGCUAGCUUCCCCUGCCAGGCACACAGGCUGCAGGCCUUUUUUUUAAAAAAAGCAAAGGCUUAACUCCGUACUGCACAAAUAGAGAGACAUCAUUUUGUCUACAGGAGCACAUUCCUCACCUUUUUCCUGCCAGGAUAUUGCAGACUCUUGAUUUCUACUGAAGAAGCUCUCAUCGUUUCUUGUGCUGGGCAGGGUGUGUGUCAGGUGACAUGUUCUCAUGAGGAACUUAAAAAUAGAUCCUGUGUGGGGCAGGCCUGGCACAGAGAGAAGGAAACGGUUUCCCCAAGUGCCAGGUUUUGGGUAGGAGCAGAGUUUAGAAAAGUUACUUUUUUGGACCACAGAUCCCAGAAUCCAUCAACCACUUUGGCUGUUAGACUUGCAUCCUGUCAGCGGCUGCACUGACUAGAUGGUUCUGGGAUUUUUUUUCCCCAAGGUCUGCUUUUAUCCUUGAAUUAAGAAGGAGUGUGUUGAGAAGUAUUUACCUUGUUCUUAUGAACCGGCAUGUCCCUGUAACAAAGCCUCAAAUAUGUUUUAAAUUCUUGUUUUGGAUUCAUUAGGAGAAACAUUAAAGGGUUUUUCUCCAAAAUACCAAAUGUGUUUUGGUCUUACAUCAUUUUAGCUGUCAGGCUUUCCUUGAAGAAUCCUAAAAAUGCUGUGUGGGGAGAGACUGAGAACUGAGUAAAUGAAAGCUGGACAAUAUACAAACUUCAUGUAGUCUCGUAGAGCCCAAAUGUGGCCUCCAAUACUGCUAUA
rnacentral:lncRNA from 1 species